CUACGGGUGGCAGCAGUGGGGAAUAUUGCACAAUGGAGGAAACUCUGAUGCAGCAACGCCGCGUGGGGGAUGACACUUUUCGGAGCGUAAACUCCUUUUAUAUAGGAAGAAGAUGACGGUACUAUAUGAAUAAGCGCCGGCUAACUCCGUGCCAGCAGCCGCGGUAAUACGGAGGGCGCAAGCGUUACUCGGAAUCACUGGGCGUAAAGAGCGUGCAGGCGGAUUAAAAAGUCAGAAGUGAAAUCCUAUAGCUUAACUAUAGAACUGCUUCUGAAACUCUUAAUCUAGAAUAUGGGAGAGGUAGAUGGAAUUUCUGGUGUAGGGGUAAAAUCCGUAGAGAUCAGAAGGAAUACCGAUUGCGAAGGCGAUCUACUAGAACAUUAUUGACGCUGAGACGCGAAAGCGUGGGGAGCAAACAGGAUUAGAUACCCCCGUAGUC
rnacentral:rRNA from 1 species